GACAGCGAACACGGCUGGGUGCGGGCAGACUCGUGCUGCGGCCGGCGGCGGCUGUGCCCGGGAAGCACGAGGGCAGCCGGCCGCAGCAGCGCCUGCUUCAGUGCGGAGGCAGCAGAGACCGAGGGCGUGGCGGUGACAAGCUGGUUUUGCGGUGAAGCAGGGAAGCAGGACCACGGGGACGAAAAGGCGAGGAGGAGGGAGAAGGGUUGAGCGGACCCUACAGGCCAGCGCCCGCUCCCCCCAAGGUAGCUUUGGAUUGCUGUGAAGGCAGCUCUCAGAGGGAAGCCAUGGGCAAUAUGCUCAGGAAGGUGGAUGAAGUGAAGACCCUGAAAGUGGAAACUUCUGGGGGCUGUGAAAGGAUACUUCCCUGGACUCCAGCUUCUGCCAGACAACUUGGUGGCAAGUUUAAACAUCUCUGAUGGUAAAGUGUCCAUCAGUGAGAGCACAGCCACUGAGAUCAUUCUGCGCAUGGCAAGCUGAUCUUCAGGGCAUCCAGCAAAGAGAGGACCUGAAGGGCUCGGCUUUGGGGGAAGCAGGGCUCAGGGAAGCAGUGAAAGAGCUCAUAGGUUUUCCACCCACUGGAGGCUUCCUGCUGGAAAUGGAGUUUGCCCUCCUCCUCUUGGCUGAAAUAAGGUCCCCUGCUGACUCACCCCAGCCCUCCAACCACAUUCCCCUGGUCUGCCAUGACCCAGAUCUUCUUCCAACAGCAUGGGCUUUGGGAAGAGGCUUCAAGGAACAUGUGCCUGCCCAUGCUCUGCUCUCUGUAGAGAUGUGUAGAGGCCCAUCUGGAAAGUCUACAGCUGCAGGUGGAUAUUAUUGGAACACAAUGUUAAGCCACAGCAAUUAA
rnacentral:lncRNA from 1 species